rnacentral:rRNA from 1 species
ACACUCCUGCGGGAGGCAGCAGUGGGGAAUAUUGGACAAUGGGCGCAAGCCUGAUCCAGCCAUGCCGCGUGAGUGAUGAAGGCCCUAGGGUUGUAAAGCUCUUUCACCGGUGAAGAAAUGACGGUAACCGGAGAAGAAGCCCCGGCUAACUUCGUGCCAGCAGCCGCGGUAAUACGAAGGGGGCUAGCGUUGUUCGGAUUUACUGGGCGUAAAGCGCACGUAGGCGGACUAUUAAGUCAGGGGUGAAAUCCCGGGGCUCAACCCCGGAACUGCCUUUGAUACUGGUAGUCUUGAGUUCGAGAGAGGUGAGUGGAAUUCCGAGUGUAGAGGUGAAAUUCGUAGAUAUUCGGAGGAACACCAGUGGCGAAGGCGGCUCACUGGCUCGAUACUGACGCUGAGGUGCGAAAGCGUGGGGAGCAAACAGGAUUAGAUACCCUUGUAGUCCCAUGAU